rnacentral:rRNA from 1 species
AUUGAACGCUGGCGGCAUGCUUUACACAUGCAAGUCGAACGGUAACAGGGUGCUUGCACCGCUGACGAGUGGCGAACGGGUGAGUAAUGCGUCGGAACGUGCCGAGGAGUGGGGGAUAACGCAGCGAAAGUUGUGCUAAUACCGCAUACGUACUGAGGUAGAAAGUGGGGGACCUUCGGGCCUCACGCUAUUAGAGCGGCCGACGUCUGAUUAGCUAGUAGGUGAGGUAAAGGCUCACCUAGGCGACGAUCAGUAGCGGGUCUGAGAGGAUGAUCCGCACCACUGGGACUGAGACACGGCCCAGACUCCUACGGGAGUCAGCAGUGGGGAAUUUUGGACAAUGGGCGAAAGCCUGAUCCAGCCAUGCCGCGUGUCUGAAGAAGGCCUUAGGGUUGUAAAGGACUUUUGUCAGGGAGGAAAUCCCUAGUGCUAAUAACACUGGGGGAUGACAGUACUUGAAGAAUAAGCACCGGCUAACUACGUGCCAGCCGCCGCGGUAA